AUUGAACGCUGGCGGCAGGCUUAACACAUGCAAGUCGAGCGGGUGAGGUUGCUUCGGUAACUGAGCUAGCGGCGGACGGGUGAGUAAAGCUUAGGAAUCUGCCUAUUAGUGGGGGACAACAUUCCGAAAGGGAUGCUAAUACCGCAUACGUCCUACGGGAGAAAGCAGGGGCCCUUUAUGACCUUGCGCUAAUAGAUGAGCCUACGUCGGAUUAGCUAGUUGGUGGGGUAAAGGCCUACCAAGGAGACGAUCUUUAGCGGGUCUGAGAGGACGAUCCGCCACGCUGGGACUGAGACACGGCCCAGACUCCUACGGGAGGCAGCAGUGGGGAAUUUUGGACAAUGGGCGAAAGCCUGAUCCAGCAAUGCCGCGUGAGUGAAGAAGGCCUUCGGGUUGUAAAGCUCUUUUGUUUGGGAAGAAAUCCUAACGGAUAAUACCUGUUGGGGAUGACGGUACCAAAAGAAUAAGCACCGGCUAACUACGUGCCAGCCGCCGCCGUAAGAC
rnacentral:rRNA from 1 species